rnacentral:rRNA from 1 species
AUUGAACGCUGGCGGCAGGCCUAACACAUGCAAGUCGAGCGGAUGAAGGGAGCUUGCUCCUGGAUUCAGCGGCGGACGGGUGAGUAAUGCCUAGGAAUCUGCCUGGUAGUGGGGGAUAACGUCCGGAAACGGGCGCUAAUACCGCAUACGUCCUGAGGGAGAAAGCGGGGGAUCUUCGGACCUCACGCUAUCAGAUGAGCCUAGGUCGGAUUAGCUAGUUGGUGGGGUAAAGGCCUACCAAGGCGACGAUUCGUAACUGGUCUGAGAGGAUGAUCAGUCACACUGGAACUGAGACACGGUCCAGACUCCUACGGGAGGCAGCAGUGGGGAAUAUUGGACAAUGGGCGAAAGCCUGAUCCAGCCAUGCCGCGUGUGUGAAGAAGGUCUUCGGAUUGUAAAGCACUUUAAGUUGGGAGGAAGGGCAGUAAGUUAAUACCUUGCUGUUUUGACGUUACCAACAGAAUAAGCACCGGCUAACUUCGUG